rnacentral:rRNA from 1 species
AGGGAAGGCAAAACAAGCGAUGUGGAGCAAACCCCUAAAAAUAGGUCUCAGUUCAGAUUGCAGGCUGCAACCCGCCUGCAUGAAGUCGGAAUUGCUAGUAAUCGCGGAUCAGCAUGCCGCGGUGAAUACGUUCCCGGGCCUUGUACACACCGCCCGUCACACCAUGGGAGCCGGUAAUACCCGAAGUCAGUAGUCCAACCUCGUGAGGACGCUGCCGAAGGUAGGAUUGGCGACUGGGGUGAAGUCGUAACAAGGUACC